AAUAGGGUGGCUGAAAUUAUAGGUUGUAAAUUGUAAAUUUAUAUAUGGUUGUUUAACCCUCUAUU
rnacentral:tRNA from 1 species